rnacentral:rRNA from 1 species
GACGAACGCUGGCGGCGUGCCUAAUACAUGCAAGUCGAGCGAGCUUGCCUAGAUGAAUUUGGUGCUUGCACCAGAUGAAACUAGAUACAAGCGAGCGGCGGACGGGUGAGUAACACGUGGGUAACCUGCCCAAGAGACUGGGAUAACACCUGGAAACAGAUGCUAAUACCGGAUAACAACACUAGACGCAUGUCUAGAGUUUAAAAGAUGGUUCUGCUAUCACUCUUGGAUGGACCUGCGGUGCAUUAGCUAGUUGGUAAGGCAACGGCUUACCAAGGCAAUGAUGCAUAGCCGAGUUGAGAGACUGAUCGGCCACAUUGGGACUGAGACACGGCCCAAACUCCUACGGGAGGCAGCAGUAGGGAAUCUUCCACAAUGGACGCAAGUCUGAUGGAGCAACGCCGCGUGAGUGAAGAAGGGUUUCGGCUCGUAAAGCUCUGUUGGUAGUGAAGAAAGAUGGAGGUAGUAACUGGCCUUUAUUUGACGGUAAUUACUUAGAAAGUCACGGCUAACUACGUG